rnacentral:misc_RNA from 1 species
AACUUGUGGUAACGGAUCACUUGGUUCUGGCACCGAUGAAGAACGCAACGAAAUGCGAUAAGUAAUGUGAAUUGCAGAAUUCAGUGAAUCAUCGAAUCUUUGAACGCACAUUGCGCCCCCUGGUAUUCCGGGGGGCAUGCCUGUUCGAGCGUCAUUACAACCCUCAAGCAAUGCUUGGUGUUGGGCUCCGCCGCCGACCCGGCGGGCCCUAAAACCAGUGGCGGUGCCGUCGAGGCCCUGAGCGCAGUAAACAUCCUCGCUAUAGGGACCCGGCGGUCGCCGGCCACCAACCCCCACCUCCUCAGUUUGACCUCGGAUCAGGUAGGGAUACCCGCUGAACUUAAGCAUAUCAAUAAGCGGAGGCU